rfam:Canis lupus familiaris chromosome X, whole genome shotgun sequence.
GGGGGGAGGUCGGAUCCUGGGCUGUGUCCCCCGCGCCCUGUGCUCCCGGGCCUGCGCUGUUGGAUUCACGCUCCCAGCCGGGCAGCCCCCU